UCCUUUUCAGCUUCUGUAUUAGAAGAUGGGGCUCCAAAGCUCACGACACAGAGAUUCCACAAAUGAAAGAAGCGUUGAGAUACCAGGAAGAUAUAUUUUGGCAGGUCAAGCGCUCAGACUGGGUAUUCCAGAUGAAGUUAUUAAUUCAGAUCCAGUUGAAGAAGCAAUCAGAUUCACCUAGAGAAUUUUAAGAAGAUAAUGAUAAAAGUGGUACAAAUUGAGAACAAGGUGCUGGAAAAGAAUGUGCAUUCUUUACUUGAUGUAUGUGAGAUACUAUUUCUAAUCAAGUGGUUGAUUUAUGUUUACCCUGCAAAUGGUCUCCAGCAUCCUGCCCAGGCCUGGCACAUGGG
rnacentral:lncRNA from 1 species